rnacentral:rRNA from 1 species
GAUGAACGCUGGCGGCGUGCCUAAUACAUGCAAGUCGAGCGAACAGACGAGGAGCUUGCUCCUUCGACGUUAGCGGCGGACGGGUGAGUAACACGUAGGUAACCUACCUAUAAGACUGGGAUAACUUCGGGAAACCGGAGCUAAUACCGGAUAAUAUUUCGAACCGCAUGGUUCGAUAGUGAAAGAUGGCUUUGCUAUCACUUAUAGAUGGACCUGCGCCGUAUUAGCUAGUUGGUAAGGUAACGGCUUACCAAGGCAACGAUACGUAGCCGACCUGAGAGGGUGAUCGGCCACACUGGAACUGAGACACGGUCCAGACUCCUACGGGAGGCAGCAGUAGGGAAUCUUCCGCAAUGGGCGAAAGCCUGACGGAGCAACGCCGCGUGAGUGAUGAAGGUCUUCGGAUCGUAAAACUCUGUUAUUAGGGAAGAACAAACGUGUAGGUAACUGUGCACGUCUGGACGGUACCUAAUCAGAAAGCCACGGCUAACUACGU